GACGGAGGGUGCAAGCGUUGUUCGGAUUGACUGGGCGUAAAGGGCGUGUAGGCGGUUGGUCAAGUCUGGUGUGAAAGCCCGGGGCUUAACCCCGGAAGUGCGCUGGAAACUAGCCAGCUAGAGCGCGAGAGAGGAGGGUGGAAUUCCUGGUGUAGCGGUGAAAUGCGUAGAUAUCAGGAGGAACACCGGCGGCGAAGGCGGCCCUCUGGCUCGUUGCUGACGCUGAAACGCGAAAGCGUGGGGAGCGAACAGG
rnacentral:rRNA from 1 species